CAAGUAAUUUACUGGGCAGAUAAAUGCUAUCUGUCAGCUUAUUUUUGAGCUGAGCUGAUAGGACAGAUCUCUGUUUCUCCAGCACUGCCAAGCCCCUGGCAGUUGAAAUGGUGAAGAUGCUGUACAUCAGCACUUCUUGUGGGCAGGCUGCAGGGAGCUGUUAGUGGAGCUGGAACGCGUAUGGAUGUUUGGCUCAAAGGGGAAACUGCACAUGUAUGGCUUUUGUUUGACUGAUUGCAGCUGAGGAAUUCUGGGGACUAAAGCCAUGCCCUUGUUCAUAUCCAGCUGUGUUGCUAGAGACAUGGUUAGAAUUUGGGCUGGAAUGAGGAAAACAAAUUCCUGCUUCUGUAGAUCUGUGAAAGCAAGCAAGGCUGAUGAGAGGGCCCUAGGUAUUGCUAAGUUCAGUAGCUGCCAGGGGUAUGGGACAGAGAGUUGAAUGCUGCAGCCCUAACACUGCCUCACUUUGCUGAUACUGCUGGCUUGCAUGUCUCUUCCUGUUUCUUUGUGUUGCCUUUCCAUAUGGGUAUAGCAACAGGAAUCUACACUUGCUAUUCUCUGUACUAGGAGAAAAUACACUGGGAUAUAGCCUAACACUUUGUAUGCUCAGUGAGUGUACUGGAGAAAUUUAUCUCUGCUGGGACUUAAAAGCCCCAUUGGCUGCUAGAGCCAGGCAUGGGAGAGCUGACAAAGCUUCCCUUGGUGGCCAUCUAAGGGUCUGAGGCAUAACUUUUGGCAUCUGCACUGACUUGUGCUUUCCUGUUUCGGUUUCUGGUGCUGGGUUCCACAUGGGCAGAGUGGAGCUUUGAUUUGCCUGAUAGCAUUUUAAUCACUUUGAAAUUGUCUCCCUUAGAGGAAUAUGAUUUGUCCUGUGCUUUGUCCUGUGAUGCCAGUAUCACAUCUUUUGUCCACACACUUUUGCUUCUGAAAGUGCCCACAGAUUACUCCUGGUGUUCAGAUCAGACUUAAGUAAGUCAUGCAUUUACACUGUCUUCCCUGGUGUAGAGCUGUGGUCUCUCGUGUGGAAACGAAGGGUAUUAAGCUCUACUGGUUCAGGUAGAGUUUUCAUGAAUGUUUAGGCAGGCAGUUUUUGCACUUCACAUGAGAAAACUCAUGCAGUUUCCUGUGGAAGGGUGAUGUUCUUCAGAAGCUUGAACUAUUAUAUACAAAGCUAUACAUAUGAUGGAGUUCAGUUAUAUGCUGUUUUCACAGUGAACGGCAGCUUUUUUUACCUGCAAUACAAGUGGUUGUAUUUCCAGUGUUGGUCUUGGGGGAAGCUAUCUGACAAACAUGCUACCAGCGAGCAUGACGUUGGGGUUGGCAUCUGGUAUGACAUAGAGGGGAGUUCUGGAACCUGUUCACCUCCUUUACAUGCAGUACAUUGCUACAGAGCAACUAUACAACAGGAGCCAUCAGAAGCACCUGCUGUGUAUCUGGAGGGCCCAGAAAUGCCAUGCAGUGCACUCACGAGGAAAAUCGCAAAGAGCAUCAGCUCCACGAACUGGGUGAGCCAGCAGGAUGAGGAGUCAGGCUGAGACAUAGCAGUCACGUUACUGAGACUUCUUCACAGGGACUGAAGUGGUUGGGAGGAAAGGAGUAAAAGGGACAGCAGGUAUGCAGCUUUUUGUGCAGUUGUCUGCAGCUGGGGUCUGAUUUGGCAGGCUAUGGGGCUGGGGAAGCUCUUUUGGAUUUGCGUAAGUACCACUGUAUCUAACUGGACAGAUCUGUGGGAGGAUGGUGCCUACUUCUUUCUUGCAUGGCUACUCCAUGUUAGCUUCUUUCUUGGAUUCACAAGGGCGAGCGGCAGCUGCAGAUCUCGCUUGGCUUGCUUGGUGCCACCUCUUUCCAGGGUUACUUUCCAGGUUUGACAUAGCCCCCGUUUAACCUUGUUCUCACAACAGCAUGGCUUGCUGUCCUCGCUUAACACAGAAUCAUUCUGUUCAGCAUGCAGAUUGACCAGCUGGGAAGUUGUGUGGUUACGAAACAGUUUUAAAUGGAAGUUAAAAAUGUGUGAGGAAAUUCAAAGUAAUACAGAAACAAUGAUGAAAGUUAUCACAAAAGUCUCCUGGUGCAUGAUGGCCAGUCCUUCUACAGUGUUAAUUGUAGUCAUCUCCCCUUUGGUGCGGCUGCAGCACACAAUUGGUUCUUAAUAAUUUAAUUCUAUUUUGCCACAUGGUGCAUGAAAAGCACACCUGGCAAAUAGCAAUACUGGAAUAGAUGCAGUGCAUUGCCCAUUCCAUAUUGAACUGUAAACUACAAUUUAACUGAAUUGUUCCUGUGAAGAUACCUUAAUUGAUUCCUUUUGAUCUAUUUUCUCCCAGAGUCUGAAGUAUAAGGUACAGAAUCUCUCUAAGCAAUUCAUCUAAUCUUGCGCUCAAGCUCUCCCAGUGCUGUGCUUUCAUCCCAUCGGUUAUGCUGCUCUUCUGCUGCUCUUCUGCUUGCCAAAAAGUUGCUGCAGGUGUUAGUGUGCACUUUUAUUUCUGUCCCCGCUGUCCCAUGGGCUGUUCUUCUCUCUAUUGCUUGUACCCCCUGCAAUUGAUGCUUAUUUUAGAGCUCUUGAGAACAGGUUUUGUUAGACAAUUAUCCUGGUACAAAUAUCCUAUUAAUCUUCUAUUUCCUUUCCUCUCCCUCUGGCACGCACACAUUCUGGGCUCUUCAGUGUUCCUUGAAUUCUGCUGUCUGUAAUAUUCCCAGUUUGAAGAGAAAAUGUCUUGUGAGAAAUAGCACCCACCAUUCAAACCCAAGCAGAAAUGUUACUUGCAUCAAAAUCCUUUGUUCUUAAAGGGCUCUGUGGGCUGCUGUUGUUAACUCUUUCAAUUGUGUUGUUUUUCAUUUCAGUAACCACUACAGCAGUGUGGACAACCCAAAAUAGCGAUGGGGCAGGUGGAGUAGAUCCACAGUGGUGGAAACACUUGCAAAUUUCAGGUCCAGGAAAGGAACACAGAAGACCUACAUGAACAGGGACCUUAAAUUGAUGUAUGAGGAGGGAGUAAAGAGGCUCAUCUGAGAGACCUUUCUGUUUAGGAAGGAAGACAGGGGAACGAUGCAGUUUCUUUUGAUUUUGUUUUGUGGAUUUUUGGGUGGGGGUUGUUUGUUGUGUGUUUGUUUUCCAGAACACCUGAGAGCUAUCCUGCAUUCAUACAGUUCAAGAAGGGAAGGGCUCAGGAAAAAUAUCAUUUCUGGCUACAAAGUCGAGACAGCACCAGAUCCUAGCAGUCGUUACGCCCCUGUUGCACUGUUCCACAGGGUUGCCCCCUACCUGCACAGCUGCUCACCUGGCAUCCCACUCAUUUACAAGAGUAUGGAGAGAACUGGAAUGCAAAGCUGAGGCAUUUUUAUGAUCUUUUAUUGUCCUACAUUUCCAGCUGUUUGUAAAACAAAUGCAGUGACUUGUUUUGGUGUUGUGGUCAGACUGUUUCAGUGUUGUGGUCAGCCUGCAGCCAUUUUUGUAUUUAAUAAAGAAACUUCUGCAGAA